UUACAGAAGUGAUGAAUGUGGCAAUGUGACAAGACAUAAGUAUGUGUUUAACUGUAAGUAUGUGCUUAAAUUUCCAAGCACUCUCAGGCUUAAAGUGUGUGUUCAUUUGAGCUGAGAAUUCUAUUGCUGAUUCUAAUAACUGUGAAGAAAGCUGCUAAACUGAUGAUGCAAUAGGAACUGAGAUGGCAAUAACUAUGUGUGUGUCAUCUUAAAAAAUAGAUACUUUUCCCCUUGCUGUGCUUGUAAAUGCCAUGAUAGAAGAGAACAUGGCUUUCCAGGCUAUUUAUUUGUUUCUUAGUGUGUUUGUUUAUUGUUAGGAUUCAUGAAACAGAUGCGGAUAAUAGCAAUAUUUUCCACUGUUUUUGGGUAUUUCAGCAGGUGUGUAUGGACAAGGUUAGCCUGAUGGCUGGUUUUGUAAGAGUAUAAGGGAAUCUAAUGAAGGAAUUUCAAUCACUAGGAAAGGGAAUCAAUGUCUGUCAGAUUUCUUCAGGGCUUCCAAACAAUGUUGUAUACUUUUGACUAUUGCCGUAGUAUGAAGAAGAUGCUUCCUUCUCCCUGCAGAGGUAGCACCACUGAAAGAACAAGAUGAGAUGCACUUGUUCUCAUAUUUUCUUCAGGUGUAAUUGAAGAGGUUUCAGGUUUCAGGCAGUGAGGGCUGUGACUGAAAAACGUGUAGCAUCGUGCAGUUUGAGCUAAAUUACAUCCAUGCUAUGAAUUAAGCAUAGACUUCAUUGUACGUUUUGCCCAGGCAUGUUCAGCAACAGCACUUCUUUAGUAAGGCAGUACAAGGAUGCUGUAUUAGACUGACCUCCACAAUACUGGAAGGAAAAAGUGUGAGCCUGCAUCCUGAAUUAACUUAGAAUGUCAUGCGCUAGAUCAAAUGUUACUCUGAUGAUGUGAGAAGUGCCUUUACCACAUUUUCUGAUGCAUUUACACCCCUACCAGAUGUGACUGAGUAUGCCAGAAAAGCUGGCAGCUGUAGAGAAGCUGGAGGUGAAACAAAGAGCUUUUUCACCAGAUGAAGUUGAGAGUUUCUUUCUCCUGAAGUCUGCAGAAAAGCAGAAAAGACAGCAGACUCCAUGAUACAGGGAACACUGUGUGCAGGUGAUGUAAACCAUUAUCUGUAGAAAUUGCAGUCUUCCUUUCAUCAACAGAAUGAGUUUGAAAUGCUCAAAACAAACUACUUCAAAGAAGAAAAGACCUGAAGAGCAGGUGAAUUUCAGUCUUUUUUUUUCUUUUAAAGAU